UGCUAAUUCCAGGCAAACUCUUGCUGGAACCCCUUUGAAAUUUAUCAUUAGGGGAAUCCAAAGCAAUUUCGAGGGAAUUGCACGCGAUCAGUUGGUUUAGUAGUUUUCAGUCUUUAGUUGGUUGAAUAAAAAUUUAGUUUUAAGUUAUUUUGAUUCGAUGUUACACAAGUUUGAAAUGAGUUCGAUACUAAAUUAUGAACACUUGUAAUUUAUUGUGAGUAUGUUAAUGAGUUGCUUUAAAGUAGUUACUUAAGGGUACGAUUGAGAUUGCUUAUGGAAUUACUAAAAUGUUUUAUAACUACUAGAAACGUUUAUGAUUGUUUGGAAAAAAAAAUAAGGUUAAAGCACUUGUUCCGUUAUUUAUAUGAAGACACUUAGAAUUUUGAGUUAUUUGUCGAUUUUCACCUUAAAUUUGUAGAAUUUGGCCAAUUUUUCUAUUCAACUUUAAUUUUAGCCAACCAUGGGCAAAAUGCUAUUUUUUAGGUUUUAUUCCCCAUCCAAACCCAACCCAACUCAUGAUAAAUGUGUGGGCUAAAAGCUAAAUCCCAAACAAAAACCAAAUUCUCCCCAGGAUUUAGCCCAAAAAUGGUGUGGGCACCAUCAACGGAAUCCUACCCACUUGGACAUGUCUUACAUGAUUGAUUGAAUUCAACGGCAGAGAUCGAAU
rnacentral:lncRNA from 1 species